rnacentral:lncRNA from 12 species
AGAAGAACACUGUGCUUUGGAGGGAGCUGGGUGCCAGGUGUGUCGCUGGGCCUCAAGAACCCCGGAAGGGACCUCAGCUUGUGCUGGGGCCUGGGGGCGGAGGGCAGGGAGCUGCGGGGAUGGAGGUGGCAGGGCCUGGACGGCCCAGGGUGCGCUUGGAGCUCGGAAGGAGGGGCGUUAUCAGCCCCAAACGGCAUGCAGAGGCUUAGACGGGGCAUGUAGGAAACCACUGGGGCCUUCCUAGAAGUACCACCCCGGAGGGCCGGGGUCGCAGCACAGCUGCGGAGGCCCAGCGGCGGACACAGUGAGAGCUCAGGGCUCCUCUCAGGGAAGGAUGCUAGUUCAGGCCCCGGGGGACGCCGGGCUCUGUCGCUGCAGCCUGUGUGACCCCCACCGACACCCUGUGAGCCGCGGUCUCCCGCUGCCUCGCCCUGGGACCCGGCCACCGCCGGGAGUUUCCUCUGUUAUCUCCUGGGCCACCUGGUUCCCGCCCCCCAUCAGCACAGUCGCCCCCCCACCCCAGAGCACCUGCUGCCCCGCCUCUUCCCUAUCCCCCUGGCCUCUGGGUGUUCUCAGCCCGGGGCUCAGUCGGUGGCACCAAGGACUCGCCCUCUGCCCCUGGCUCCCGGGCUGUCACCUGCCCACUGGCCAUCUCUAGUUUCCCAGGCGCUGAGAAGGGUUGGCCGUAGGCUCGCCAAGACCCGAGCUGAACCCGCUGAUGCCUAGGCCACCUGAGUGGGUCUUGAUCGCCGACCUGAGCUCGUGAUUCUCCCGAAUGAGCUGCACCAGCUUCUUCAGUUCCUCGUUCUCCCUCACCAGCCUCUCGAUCUGAUGCCGAAGCCCCUCAUAAUUGGUUGUGGUGCCGGUUCCCUCGCAGGGCCAGCAUCCUGCGUUGGGCUUGAGUUCGGGAUGGAACAGCAGGAGUUUGCAGGGAGCAAGGCUUCACCCAAAGCCCUCCAGAGGCACCUGGUGACUCCUCGCUUGCUGCUGCUGAGUCAGGCGACCCCCCCUGGGCUCCGGUCACUGGCUCCGCACAGUCUGUCCCCGUUCACAUUUGCCUCCUGAGAGUCUGCUCAGCCCAGCGGCUUGGCGAGCCCGCCCGGGAUCUGUGCUCCCUUCCUGGCUUGGGACUCAGUGCAAGGUUCCUCGUGAAGGCCACCUUCCCGCGGCCACAGGAUGUCAAAGGACAGGGACCCGGGCCCUGGAGCCCUCCAUCCACGCGGACAGGCUGCCCCUCAGGGUGGGGGGAGUCCUCAGGAAGCAGCCAUCCAGCAGUCCCGCUGUGCCAUCCCUACCAGCUUCAUCCUUCCCAUGUGCCCGCCGUGGCCAGUCACGACCUCGGGUCGCAGCCCUGGGGGACAAGAUGCUGCUGGGAGGAAUUUGCCGGGUCUGUGCCCCCCAGAUCCAGCUCCCCGGACGCCAGCGGUGAGGUGCUGACUGGGCGCUGCGCUGCGGCAACCGUCAGUGUCGCGUGCGGAGAAGCCCCUGGUGCAGCCCCGCAUGUCCUGCAUCUGGUGUCUCCCCGGGCCCAGGCCCGGGUCUCCGUGGCCAGUCCAGGCUUCCCUCCCUCUCGCAGCUGUCAGGGCCCCGGCCUGCUCCUCCUCCCUCCAGCCUCGCCCCUUCUGGUGCGGCCUCUCCCGGCUGCUUGUGGACCCCCUCAAUCUGGGCUCCGCUCAGAGGGAAGCCUCGGGGUGCUGUUCCUGGAGAAGACAAGGACACAGCACACACUCUGUGUCCUAGAGGCCAGCACGGGUCCUGGCCCACGGGAGGUGCUCAGUAAACAUUUGAAUGCAUUUUUAUUUGACUUUUUAAAAAAUUAUUUAUUUAAGAUUUUAUUUAUUUAUUUGUGAGAGACACAGAGAGGCAGAGACACAGGCAGAGGGAGAAGCAGGCUCCAUGCGGAGGCUGAUGCGGGACUUGAUCCCAGGACCCUGGGAUCCUGCCCUGAGCCGAAAGCAGACUGAGCCCCCCAGGGAUCCCCAAAAAUUUAUUUUCCAAAAUAAUUCUGGCCGUGAAACUGGAGAAGGGAUGCUGGUUGCUGUGCGCUGCCGUACGCUAACUGGCCCGUCAGUCUGAGGACGUGGCCUGGACUCGUGUGGCUCUGGGGGCCCCUCAGGCCUGUGGUGGGGCCUCCCUGGACAGAGCCGCUCAGCCACUGGUGCCCCCAGGGCCCUGGAGCCAGAGCUGCUAAGAGGGGCCUCAAGGGCAGGUCCUCCAGGUCUUGGCUAAGGGCGGAGUCUUUGGGGAAUGUGGGGUCUCAGUCACCCGUCGUGAGGGGCAGAGGGGAGACCAGGAGGUCAGUCCCUGUCGGUCCCUGAAGUUGACAUUAUUUGGGGGGCGGCCAGGAGGGGAGAGCAGGAUGUCCUGUUGGCUAGGAGCUCAGAGGCCCCAGGUGGGGUGGGGGACUGGCAGCGUGCGGUGGGGCUCCAGACCCUGGGCUCCAGGGGUCAACCGCAGGGUCGCCUCCCCCAGCCCUUACCUUGGCUGAUUCCUCCUCCUCCUUCAGACCGUGGCUGGUGAGCCACCCAUCCGGGGCCUCCCCUCGACCACACGGGAGGAGGGACGGGCCUCGCUUCCGGCUGAGUUGCGUCCUGCGUCUGUCCAACGGUGAUGAUGGCCCCUCCUCCUCCUGCACCUGAGCCCAGGUGAGCCCCACGGCCAGCAGCCUCUGGCAGGUCCCCUGGGUCCACCAGCAGCACUUUCAACGGCUCUCAGUGCGUCUUCGUGGAUGAGUGUGUGGACCGCACCCGCUUCCCUCGGCCUCCAGGAGUCCAGCCUCUCCCCAGCCCCGCACCAACCCCUCACCUGCCUCCUUGGGGCCCCAGGAUCAUUCCAGGGGCCACAGGGGCCUGCCCCGCCCCCAGCCCGGGCCUCCCCUGCUCCGGGACACAAGGGCCUGACUCGGGCCUCCACUGGCCCCGCAGCCGAGGGCAAACCUGGCUCCUGAGUUGGGGAGCCAUUUGGCCUUGGCUGCAGCCCUCGCCCAGCUCAGCGCAAUGGAAAUAGAUCCUUCCAAAGGAAUUUUCAUCAGGAAUCUGCAGGCACAGGCGGGGAAGUGGCCAACCACGGGGACCCUGUCCUAGGCCCAUUCUGGAGCUUGGCCUUCUCCUGGGUGGGCAGCAGUGGGCCUGGUGCUUCCCGCAGGCCGGAUCACCACACCCACCCUCGGUUUGUCUUGGGGGUCAGAUGACAUCCGAGGGUCGGUACUGAGGUCAGUGCUUGCAGGUGGCGUGCGACACCGUGAGUCCAGGCUUUCCAGGCUCAGGGCCUUCCUAUGCCAAGCCCGGCGCCGCCGGAGGACAGGCCGCUCUGACCGUGUGUGGGAGCCGGACGGUCUCAAGGCCGACAGACCCAUACUGGGGGGUCCUGAGCAGGUCACCAGGCCUCGUGUCCGAUGUCGGUGUGGGCACAGGAUGAGGGCCCAGCCUGCAGGGUCCCGCCGGCCCCCUCUGAGGCUGCUUAUGCCCUGCCCCUGGGCCCAGAGGCCGCCCAGCUCCCGUGCUUGCAGGCUGGCGCCCAGCGGGGCGUGCGGGCUCUGGGCUUGAGGUCGGCUUUCCCAGCCUGCCUGUCCCCUGCCUGGACUCCUGCCACGUCCCAGGGAUGGGCUUGCCCCUGGGGAAGCGGGGCUUCUGGUCACAGUUUUGGCCAGCCUUCUCUGCUUGGUCUUAGGGGUCGGCUCUCUCGCUCCUUCAGCAGGAUCUAGGUGCGAACCUUCUCAGGCUCCAUCGCCUUAGGACGCCCCGCGGAGCCCUGGGUUUCCCCACGGGCCACCUCCCUCCCUCUGAGCUCGUUUGCUGCGCGGGGACCGUGGACACCUGCGUAGGCCCACUCACACUCGGCCCCGGAACCCUCCUCAGCCGGGGCCCUUGGCCUCCCUGUGACGAGUGUUGCGCUGCAAUUUUAGGCGCAGGUGAGUGAAAGUGCUCUUGCUGUGCAGCAGGGCUGUGCCGAGUUAGCAGGCGGCUGGAUGAACGAGAAAAUCCCAAACACAGUCACUUGUGCGGUAAUGCUUGUUUGCAAAUAAACGUGCGUUUGCUUCAGGGUGAUCGACA